CUACGGGCUGCUGCAGUGAGGAAUAUUGCACAAUGGGGGGAACCCUGAUGCAGCAACGCCGCGUGGAGGAUGACGCAUUUCGGUGUGUAAACUCCUUUUAUAUGUCAAGAAAAUGACGGUAGCAUAUGAAUAAGCACCGGCUAACUCCGUGCCAGCAGCCGCGGUAAUACGGAGGGUGCAAUCGUUACUCGGAAUCCCUGGGCGUAAAGGACGCGUAGGCGGGUUGGAAAGUCAGGUGUGAAAUCCUACAGCUUAACUGUAGAACUGCACUUGAAACUUCUAAUCUAGAGUAUGGGAGGGGGAGAUGGAAUUAGUGGUGUAGGGGUAAAAUCCGUAGAUAUCACUAGGAAUACCUAAAGCGAAGGCGAUCUCCUGGAACAUUACUGACGCUAAGGCGUGAAAGCGUGGGGAGCAAACAGGAUUAGAUACCCGCGUAGUC
rnacentral:rRNA from 1 species